rnacentral:rRNA from 1 species
GAUGAACGCUGGCGGCGUGCCUAAUACAUGCAAGUCGAACGGGGUAUUUGAGCAAUCGAAUACUUAGUGGCGAACGGGUGAGUAACGCGUUGGUGACCUGCCCCGAAGAGGGGGAUAACAGCUCGAAAGGGCUGCUAAUACCCCAUGAUAUCUACCCGGUUAGAGGAGGUAGAUGAAAGGAGAAAUCCGCUUUGGGAGGGCCUGCGUCCCAUCAGCUAGUUGGUAGGGUAAAGGCCUACCAAGGCAAAGACGGUAGGGGCCUGAGAGGGUGACCCCCCA